GAGGGUGGUGGCCAUCAAUAUUGCAGCCCACAGACUGAGUAGUCCCCAAGAUGUCUUUAAUGGUUCCAGAGAGCUCUCUAGCUACCGAACGGUGCUGCAUCUAUUGGCCAAUGGUGACAAUCUCAUCAAAAGUGAUAUUUUCACCGUGUUUAAUGUUUUUUGUUUUCUGUCUCUUGGUGGUUCCUCAAUAAUCAAGACAAGCAGAACGCUUAAUUGAUAUGACAAGAAAAGAGAAAUUAAACAUCAUGAAUAGAAUGGAAAAAGCAUAUGUGUAUGUAGCUGCUCAUGAAGGAGGGAGAUAAGAUUCUAUAAAGCCAGGGUAAGCCAGCUGCCACAUUAUAAGCCACAUCAAACAAAUCCAUAGAGAGUCUCAUGUGGAGAAGAAUCAAGGCCUCCCACCAGUAGCCAAGCCCAAACUGCCAGUCCUGUGGACCAAGUUGAAAGCACAUUCUCCAGCCCCAGUCAAGCCUUCAUAUGACUACAGAGCCAACUGAUAACUACAACCUCACAAGAGACCCUGAGCCAGAACUACCCAGUGAAGCCAAUCCUGAAUCCCUGACUCACAAGAACCUGUCAAACUCAGACAAUGCCUCUGACUGUGAGAUAAAGAGGUUCUGGAGGUGGACCAGUGAUUUCCAGAGCUCUGGCCUGGAGAAAUAACCACAGAAUGGGUAAGCUCCAAAGAACAGCUUUGCAAUCAGAUACUGAGGGACUUUGGUCAAUACCAUCCAACCUUUGGGGAGACCCAUAAACCUCAGGUCUCCUGGAGUUAGCUGGAAGACAAAGAAGCACCCACUAGCCUGAGAAAUCCUGAGGCUUCAUUUGUUUAAACAGACCACAUAAUAAAUCAGAAAGAUGGUAGUUAAGAAAAUAAAGUCAGAAAUCUGAGGUAGUGCAGUCUGAAAGACUGUCUCCUGUGGCAGCGUCAGUGUGGCUCAGUCGGUUAAAGUGCCUAGCUUUUGAUUGUGGCUCACAGCAUGAUCUCACAUUUCAUGAGUUCAAGCCUACAAUAGGGUCAGUGCUAACAGCGCAGGACCUACUUGGGAUUCUCUAUCUCGCUCCCUCUUUGCCUCUCUCUCUUUCUUUCUCUCUCAAAAAUAAACAUUUAAAAAAUAAAAUAAAAAUAAAAUAAAAUUUAAAAAGACCCUUAUGUCAGAACCCAGCUCUCCUAC